GGCAAAUAUAUCAAGGGGGUUCUAAAUAAUAAUCCAAAAAAUACAUCAAAUUAGCUGAAAACUGUUGUCAGUUUAUUUUUGAGGAGAAGCAGAUGAAAAUAACUAUUAGUGCAUUAAUAAAAUAGUAGUCUGAGGAAAGCGUUAAAAGUAAAUUAGUUUCUGUUAGUGCUUUUAAGACCUCUGAGCUGCUAUACUUUGAGGUGUUUGAUUUGUAAGCAUUAGAGUGUACUCUUUAUAACAGAAAUUAGCCAUGUUUUCUGUUAGUCCCCACGAGAAUUUUAUUUUUUGUCGGUAGGAAGCACACAGUGACAUGACUUCUAAAGCAGCAACUCCAACUCUGUGUAUUUCUGUAGCCCUUGAAGUGCCACCGCAUUUCAUCUCUGGGAUGGAGGAGGUUUCUCAGGCAGUGCCUAACCUGGACGUUGCCUGGUGUGCAUGCAGCUGCCAGCCCAGCUGGGAUGGGCACUGGAGCAGAAUGAGCAACCUCUCCAGAUGUCUCUCCUGGAGCAAAGCAGGAGCAGCUCCCUGCUGAAAGCUGUGGAAACCCACCCGUUCUGUGCUGAUGGCGAAGCUUCUGGCUUCUUUGAUGUUGGAGAAGGAAGGGCAGAUAUAUGCUCCGAGUUCUGUAUCCUUCCUGCAGUGCCUCGGGCAUCCGGG
ensembl:lncRNA